CCCCACCAGAACCACGUUGCGAACGCCGCCGGGCCCGUUUGCGGUGGGAGCGGCGGCCGC
rnacentral:sRNA from 1 species